UGGCUGCAGUCGAGGAUCUUCGGCAAUGGGCGAAAGCCUGACCGAGCGACGCCGCGUGGACGAUGAAGGCCUUCGGGUUGUAAAGUCCUGUCGAGGGGGAUCAAGGCGCAAGCUUGAGUGAUCCCUGGAGGAAGCACGGGCUAAGUUCGUGCCAGCAGCCGCGGUAAGACGAACCGUGCAAACGUUAUUCGGAAUCACUGGGCAUAAAGGGCGCGUAGGCGGCUUCAUAAGUCAGGGGUGAAAUCCGGCAGCUCAACUGUCGCAGUGCCUUUGAUACUGUGAAGCUCGAGGGAUGUAGGGGUCUGUGGAACUUCCGGUGGAGCGGUGAAAUGCGUUGAUAUCGGAAGGAACGCCGGUGGCGAAAGCGACGGACUGGACAUUUUCUGACGCUGAGGCGCGAAAGCCAGGGGAGCAAACGGGAUUAGAUACCCCGGUAGUCCUGGCCCUAAACGAUGGGUACUAGAUUGCGGACUUACAUGGGUUCGCAGUCGAAGCUAAUGUUUUAAGUACCCCGCCUGGGGAGUAUGGUCGCAAGGCUGAAACUCAAAGGAAUUGACGGGGGCUCACAC
rnacentral:rRNA from 1 species